AUUGAACGCUGGCGGCAGGCUUAACACAUGCAGGUCGAGCGGAGAUGAGGUGCUUGCACUUUAUCUUAGCGGCGGACGGGUGAGUAAUGCUUAGGAAUCUGCCUAUUAGUGGGGGACAACAUUCCGAAAGGAAUGCUAAUACCGCAUACGUCCUACGGGAGAAAGCAGGGGAUCUUCGGACCUUGCGCUAAUAGAUGAGCCUAAGUCGGAUUAGCUAGUUGGGGGGGUAAAGGCCUACCAAGGCGACGAUCUGUAGCGGGUCUGAGAGGAUGAUCCGCCACACUGGGACUGAAACACGGCCCAGACUCCUACGGGAGGCAGCAGUGGGGAAUAUUGGACAAUGGGGGAAACCCUGAUCCAGCCAUGCCGCGUGUGUGAAGAAGGCCUUAUGGUUGUAAAGCACUUUAAGCGAGGAGGAGGCUACUGAGACUAAUACUCUUGGAUAGUGGACGUUACUCGCAGAAUAAGCACCGGCUAACUCUGUGCCAGCCGCCGCCGUAAAAC
rnacentral:rRNA from 1 species